rnacentral:piRNA from 1 species
UCUAGGUUGCGCUGUCCCUGUGAGAAUCUAA